UACGUAGGGACCAAGCGUUGUUCGGAUUUACUGGGCGUAAAGGGCGCGUAGGCGGCAUGACAAGUCACUUGUGAAAUCUCCGGGCUUUAACUCGGAACGGCCAAGUGAUACUGUCGCGCUAGAGUGCGGAAGGGGCAAUCAGAAUUCUUGGUGUAGCGGUGAAAUGCGUAGAUAUCAAGAGGAAUACCUGAGGUGAAGACGGGUUGCUAGGCCGACACUGACGCUGAGUGCGCGAAAGCCAGGGGAGCAAACGGG
rnacentral:rRNA from 1 species